AACGAACGCUGGCGGCAGGCUUAACACAUGCAAGUCGAACGCCCCGCAAGGGGAGUGGCAGACGGGUGAGUAACACGUGGGGAUCUGCCCAAUGGUACGGAAUAAUUCCGGGAAACUGGGACUAAUACCGUAUGUGCCCUUCGGGGGAAAGAUUUAUCGCCAUUGGAUGAACCCGCGUCGGAUUAGCUAGUUGGGGAGGUAAAGGCUCACCAAGGCGACGAUCCGUAGCUGGUCUGAGAGGAUGAUCAGCCACACUGGGACUGAGACACGGCCCAGACUCCUACGGGAGGCAGCAGUGGGGAAUAUUGGACAAUGGGCGCAAGCCUGAUCCAGCCAUGCCGCGUGAGUGAUGAAGGCCUUAGGGUUGUAAAGCUCUUUCGCCGAUGAAGAUAAUGACGGUAGUCGGAGAAGAAGCCCCGGCUAACUUCGUGCCAGCAGCCGCCGUAAUAC
rnacentral:rRNA from 1 species